rnacentral:rRNA from 1 species
UACGAAGGGGGCGAGCGUUGUUCGGAUUUACUGGGCGUAAAGGGCGCGCAGGCGGCGCAUUUUGUCAGGCGUGAAAGCCCCGGGCUUAACCUGGGAACUGCGUUUGAUACGGAUGGGCUAGAGUUCGGGAGAGGGGAGUGGAAUUCCCAGUGUAGAGGUGAAAUUCGUAGAUAUUGGGAAGAACACCGGUGGCGAAGGCGGCUCUCUGGACCGAGACUGACGCUGAGGCGCGAAAGCGUGGGGAGCAAACAGG